AUUGAACGCUGGCGGCAGGCCUAACACAUGCAAGUCGAGCGGAGCGGCGGACGGGUGAGUAAUGCCUAGGAAUCUGCCUGGUAGUGGGGGAUAAAGUCCGGAAACGGGCGCUAAUACCGCAUACUAUCAGAUGAGCCUAGGUCGGAUUAGCUAGUUGGUGGGGUAAAGGCCUACAAAGGCGACGAUCCGUAACUGGUCUGAGAGGAUGAUCAGUCACACUGGAACUUAGACACGGCCCGGACUCCUACGGGAGGCGGCCGUGGGGAAUAUGGGACAAUGGGCGAAAGCCUGAUCGACCAAGGCCGCGUGUGUGAAGAAGUUCUUCGUAUUGUAAGGCACUUUAAGUUGGAAGGCGUUACCAACAGAAUAAGCACCGGCUAACUUCGUGCCAGCAGCCGCGGUAAUUC
rnacentral:rRNA from 1 species